rnacentral:misc_RNA from 1 species
AAGUCGUAACAAGGUUUCCGUAGGUGAACCUGCGGAAGGAUCAUUAACACGUAUCCAACGUUAAACAACCCUGUGAACGCUCUUGUAGCCCACGCGGAACAGCAAUCCCGGUAAAUCAAUUGGAGAAAAGGUUUUGAUUCGGGACCUCUGUCCAUCAGGCUACAAUCGAGCUAGGAUUCCCUAAGAGUGCAGAAGGAUCCACUGGAGUAAGGAUAACGCCUCACGGUUGCCAGAGGUCGAUCACCGGCCGGCAGACAUGUCACAGGGCUAUAUGCCCCCUCAUUCACACCCUAUCUGGCCCCACGGAAACGUUGGGGCACAAACCGAACAACUGUUAACAAUGGAUAUCUUGGUUCUC